rnacentral:rRNA from 1 species
GGGCCCGCACAAGCGGUGGAGCAUGUGGUUUAAUUCGACGCAACGCGAAGAACCUUACCUGGGCUCGAACGGCUAGUCAACGACGGUGGAAACAUCGUUACUCCGCAAGGGGGUCUAGUCGAGGUGCUGCAUGGCUGUCGUCAGCUCGUGUCGUGAGAUGUUGGGUUAAGUCCCGCAACGAGCGCAACCCUUGCCCUGUGUUGCCACUCCGAAAGGAAGCACUCUCAGGGGACCGCCAGCGAUAAGUUGGAGGAAGGUGGGGACGACGUCAAGUCAUCAUGGCCUUUAUGUCCAGGGCCACACACGUGCUACAAUGGCCGGUACAAAACGACGCAAACCCGCGAGGGGGAGCAAAUCGGCAAAAACCGGUCUCAGUUCGGAUUGCAGGCUGCAAUUCGCCUGCAUGAAGCUGGAAUCGCUAGUAAUGGCGCAUCAGCAUGGCGCCGUGAAUACGUUCCCGGGCCUUGUACACACCGCCCGUCACAUCACGAAAGUGGGUUGUACG